UCGCUGCUUCCCUAUUCUCUCACGCGCCGGCAGCUCGCGCCCCAGGCCGAGGCGCUCGCGCGCUGUCUCGAGGCUCCCCCGUCCCGCGCGCGCGCAGCGGGACCCGACGCUCCGUGCGGGCCAUGGCCGCGUGCAGGGACCGCGUCCGCCUCCAAGGCGCCGGGGAGAAGGGCGCCUCCAACGGGGAGAUCGGCCCGCCGGACGCCGGCAACGGGACCCUCUUCCCCGCGCCGGGCUCCCCCUCCCGGGCCGCCCGCGUGCGGGGCUGCCUGCGCGCCAACCUGCUGGUGCUGCUGACCGUGGCCGGGGUGCUGGCCGGCGUGGCCGUGGGGCUCGGCGUGCGGCAGGUGCCGGGCGGGCUGAGCCGCGCCGGGAUCCUCGCCUUCUCCUUCCCCGGCGAGCUGCUGCUGCGCCUGCUGAAGAUGAUCAUCCUGCCGCUCGUGGUCUGCAGCCUGGUCUCCGGCGCCGCCAGCCUGGACCCCGCCGCCCUGGGCCGCCUGGGGGGCUGGGCCAUGCUCUUCUUCCUGCUCACCACGCUGCUGGCCUCGGCCCUCGGGGUCAGCCUGGCCUUCAUCAUCCGGCCCGGCCAGGGGGCCGCGCCGCCCAGCCUAGGGGGCGAGGGGGGCGGCGCUGUGCCCGAGGCCAAGGAGGUGGCGGACUCCUUCCUGGAUCUCAUCAGGAACAUCUUCCCUUCCAACCUGGUGUCGGCGGCGUUCCGCUCGUAUGCUACCCACUACAAGCUAGUGGUGAUCAGAAAGAAUGUCACCGAUGAGCUGGGAGUCUUCAAUGAAACCAUCACAGAGGAGAAGGUUCCCCUGGGAGAUGAGGUGGAAGGGAUGAACAUCCUGGGUUUGGUGGUUUUUGCCAUCGUCUUUGGGAUCGCUCUGCGGAAGCUUGGGCCCGAGGGGGAGAACCUGAUAAAGUUCUUCAACUCCUUCAAUGAAGCCACCAUGGUGCUGGUCGCCUGGAUCAUGUGGUACGCCCCCCUUGGUAUCAUGUUCCUGGUGGCUGGCAAGAUUGUGGAGAUGGAGGACGUGGUGGUCCUCUUCACCAGCCUGGGCAAGUACAUCUGCUGCUGCAUCUUAGGGCACUUCAUCCACGGCUUCAUGCUCCUCCCAGUUAUCUACUUCAUCUUCACGCGCAAGAACCCCUACAGGUUCCUCUGGGGCAUCUUCACAGCGCUGGCCACUGCCUUCGGCACCUCCUCCAGCUCUGCCACGCUGCCGCUGAUGAUGAAGUGCGUCGAGGAGAACAACGGCGUCUCCAAGCACAUCAGCCGCUUCAUCCUGCCCAUCGGGGCCACGGUCAACAUGGACGGGGCCGCCCUCUUCCAGUGCGUGGCGGCCGUCUUCAUCGCCCAGCUGAACAACAUCCCGCUCAACUUCAUCCAGGUCAUCACCAUCCUUGUUACAGCUACAGCCUCCAGCGUGGGGGCAGCGGGGAUCCCUGCCGGUGGCGUCCUCACCCUCGCCAUCAUCCUGGAAGCCGUUGGGCUGCCGACCAACGACAUCUCCCUCAUCCUGGCUGUGGACUGGCUCGUGGACCGCACCUGCACCGUCCUCAACGUGGAAGGAGACGCCUUUGGAGCCGGCCUCCUGCAGGUGUACACAGAGAGGACAAUGGGGAAGGCUGAAGCCGAGGAGCUGGUGGAGAUCAAGACUGAGGACUUGGGCCCCAGCAAGGUUCCGGGCGAGGAGGAAGGCUCCCCACUGAUCAAGAGAGACGGGCCCGUCCCGCUGGCUGCCGCUGGCUCCUGCGAGAAGGAGUCUGUGAUGUAAUCAGCGCCCGGAGCGUGGUCCUGGUCGGAGACUUUUCCUUUUUUAGGGUUCCUUUUUAAAGAUGUGUCAAUCGGGGCAGAAACGGCCACUUCUGGUUUUCUUAAACCUUGAACCUCCUGGGCCGAGGCAAUCUCUGUGAGGGGACUGAUGAGCUCGAGACAACCCAACAACUCUCUAGAGUGACCCCCUGACACCCACCCUUCUGACUUGUGUUGAGGGAGCCGGAAUCUAGGCUGGGCUCCCAGCCCCACCUCUUACUCCUUUUCUAUGUCAAUCCCAUUCUCCUGACGCUGGCUGCAGCCUGUGCUGGGUCAGAGGCCUCUUGAAUCACUCCUUGCCUCUGACCUUCUGAGGUCUGCCCUCCCGCCCCUGCUCUCUUCCUGUUAAUUUUCUGGACCAAGCAAGCACCAGAACUGACCUCCUUGCGCUUUAAAUGUACUUAAGCAUCUGGCGUUUCUCGAACUACCGGUAACGCCACUUUCCGUUGUGCGCUCAGCUGCUCAAGUGGAGGCCGGCUGGCUCGCGGGCCCCUCCCGACCUCUGACCUCUCCUUGCCUGAAAGACUUGAUAUUCUAGCUCCUCCAGAGCUCCGGCUGGGGGUCCCUGGAAGAGAUCCUCCCGCAUUCUCUCCUUGUGGCUACAACUCGGUUGUGAAACAGCUUGUGCCUUUGUCUGUGUGGCUGUGGUCCAGUCCUGUCUGUCACACCGGUCCCGGAGGAGCCGGCGCUGACGUUGGUGUGGAGUCAUGUGUCUGUGUCCCACGGUCUCUUGGUGUCCCGAGAAACUGGUUGCUCCAGCCAGGCUGACGUAAUUUAUUUUGCUAUUUAAACGAUACGAGUGAGUUGGUCUCUUCAGAUUAGAGGGGAGGGAGCCCUUAGACAGCACCAAUGGACUGUAGGCUGCACCUGGCAUCUACCAUCAAAAGGGAAUGGGACAGAUCCUGGACUGAUGGGGAAGCCUGUACGUCAACACCCCAGCUAGGCAUUGCCUUAAUUAUUUGACUCCAAGCCCUGGUUCUUGGGCUGGACGCUCCAGCCAAGGGUUACAGCUCAGUGCUGAUGUGUCAACCCUCUGGUUCUUCAGCAUAACCUCGGACAGGUUGCGGUUCCUCUGGCCUCAUUCACUCCUCAGCCUUCUAGACCCAAAUCCUGCAGGGCUGUUCCCAUGCCAGCUGGAAUCUACUGCUCUCGCCUGUGCCACGACCAGCCGUGGGGGGCUCUGAUCUGGGGCUGUUCUUGGGGGCGAAUGGCUUGUUCCGUUCCGUUCCCCAGCAAGCCGUUCUGGGAGCUGUCGGGCCCUGGUAGCUCUUAAGCUAUUGACCUCACCCACAGCCUCAGUCCAGUGGGUUGGUCCGUUUGAAUCUCUGCUGUAUUUUCCCCAGAGACUUUGGGGUGAGGAAUCACAAGGGGGGGACGGGUUUGCUCUUGGCAUCAAGGUCCGUCCCUGUUUUAAACAGAUGGGGGGGCAGGCUGGGAGAAGAUACCAGGUCCCUCUUCUUUCUGAAGAAGAAAUCUGAGCGGCUAAUCAGGCAGCCUGGCCUGUGGGUGAGUCGCACACCGUCCACCAGGAUCUGGUUCCUGUUGGCAGGCCCAGGCAGCCUUGCUUCCACCCAGGGCGCUCCUGCCACCAGGCAAACAUCUGGGCAGCUGCUGCGGAUGAGCGCUCACCUCCUCGUGCCCGGCCCCUAGAGUGCCGAGCCGCUCGCUGGUGAGAACAAGCCCCGGCUGAUCCCCGUGUGAACUCCCUUUGCUGGGGGGGGAUAUUUUUAAUGCUGUUUUCGCUGCUGGGGACAUUGGCACGAAACAGGCGCUUCAGGGCAUUUAGUGGCCUUGUGCCAAGUGUUCCUCUGGCAGCCGUCUCCAUGGCAACCAACCAGUGGCAGACAGGAUCAUUACUCCCAGGUGAGGGAAGAAACCGAAGCCGCAGGUGAGCCGGCUCUAGAGGCACAAGGUAUACUGCCGGUAGCGCGGCUGCCUUUGGGCUGUAGCCUGGGCCUCUUGACCUCUGCCAUAGCUUCACAGUGACCUUCAGCCAGUCUCCUUCCCUCAGGGGUGGCAGAUAACCUGGGUUUUGGCCCAGCCACCUACAAAACCCUCUGGCCCAGUUUGCUCUAAGGUUGGGCCAGCUAGCACAGCUGGGGGUAUCUGCUGCUAGUCCUCCAAGGCCUGCCCACAAUUCCCCCCGAAGGAUAGACCCAUUCUCAGUUGCCUUGGAAAUAAUCCUAGGGCAUCCCAGCUCCAAGAACCAGCGGCUAUGCCCCCAGAUCCAGGGUCGGAUCCAGCCUGCAGUAACACAGGUAGGGCUUUGCAGGGGCAUGCUCCCACCUGGGCUGGCCUGCGCCAGCUGCCUCUCACCAGCGUGACCUGGGCAGAGACUCCAUCCCCUUUGUUCCAGCAGGGGGUGAGAAAAGGCCCAAUAUGGGGGAGAACUGAAUCCUGGGGGUGGUGAUUCGAGGGGCAUCCCCCACUGGGGUCUGAGCCUUGCUUAGGCCCCGUAGCUGCUACGGUGAUAUAGCGCUCCUCAAGCACAGCCCCGUCUGCAGGCUUGGGUCCCGCCCUGGUCAGUACUAACCCUGGAUUUCAGGGGAUCUUUGCCAUCCCAGUCCCGGGGAGAGGGAAGCACAAUUUGAAGCAAGAGUAACUGUAGUGGCAGCUCCGUGAUUCUCAGGCAGACUCUGCUAGGGGGACUGCAGGUCUCCUCAUCACCUAUUGGGCUUGAAAGCCAGCCCUGGGCCCUAUCCCUGGAGACAAGAAUUUCCAUCUCCAGAAGGUACCUGCGUGUAGGAGCAGUGGAAUGUGGUUUACACGGGCCACAGAUCAGUGCCUGUGGGUGCAGGAAGGUUGGGUACAGGUCUGUCUGAAUCUGCUUCAGCCUUUUGGAAGUAUGAACAAAUCCCUAGACCGGUCUUUGGGCUGAGAUCUCCCCACUUCCCCUGAGAUGGAUGGGGACAGGGAUGCAGGGGCAAGUCCAAAGUACGCAAUGCCAAAGGAAUUGCUGGUAGGGGCAGUGCUGCUCUCUAGGGCGCUCGGGGCGGGUGGUGGCAGUGUCUGU